GACCUGGCUGCAGCACGCAGAAAGGGGCGGGGUCGGGCCAGUUUUCAGACUCAUACCAUAUUUGGAAAACGCAACGCUUAAAGAGCAAGUAACGUCUAAAUUAACUUUUUUUUUAUGAUGAACUGUAUAAAUGAGUGUCUAAUAGUGUUUUAAAUGUGUGCAUUCUUUAUUUUAGCAUUUUGGUGCAUUUUCUUUAAAAAUUAAAAAUUCUGUCUAAAAACCACAGUAAUGCGCCACCUUCAGCUGAAAACAUAGAAUUUGAGUCAUUUUGAAUAAAUUUUAGCCAAUGGCUAAAGAGUAAAAUACUACGUAAACCAGUAGAGUACUACGUAGCAGCUCCGUGCCAAAGUUAUAAAAGCAUCGAGCGUCUCGGCCACGCCCUGUGGCGAGUGGGAGUUGGAUUUGCAAGCGAGGUCAGCGGUAGUUCAGCAUUAGCAUAUAGCAUUAGCAUAUCCUAGUCUUUAGCAUAGCUUUUAGUGUUAUAAAUACUUAUUUAGUGUUAGUUUGGCUGUUGGAUAUUGUAGUUUGGUUAGUGUUUGGCUGUUAGUGUAAUUGGGAAAGUAGUUUGGGUUUAGUGCUCCAUAUCGUGUUAGCAUGGUGAGAUGGUGUAGUGUAGUAUGGUUGCGGUAGCUCUGUGGGCAUUUUACCCGCGAUUCUGCACGCCUCCGUUUGAAGAGGGAGGCUGUGCCCACGGUGGCUCUUCCGCGAUUUAGAUGCAGCCCACCGACUCUGCUCCCCCACCACGGCGGGCUCCAGUCUGAGGUGAGUACACUAAAUAAACGUUUUAACAUCUUCUAAAGACAAUUUCCUACCUAAAUGCAAAGUCUGAGAGACGUGGUUCACUUCCUUUAGCUAGUCAGUCGGUAAUUCUGCAACAGUGGCUCUAACUGACGCAGCACUAGUUGACAGACAGCAUUACAGCGUGAAAUCCAGCUUGUGACUCGGUUCUGUAAGGAAUUCUGUUCAGGAGGUCACAUUUCAGGCUCUCCACAUCAUAUGUGACUGACUUUUACGUUAUAACAACGAUCACACACUAGGAAUGUUAUAAAGCGCCUAUAUAGGACAGUUUCUUUUGUAUAUUAUCUGACUUUAUAAACUCCGACAACAAUGUGCUUCUUUUAUUUUCAGGCUAAAUCUACCCAAGACACUGGGUGUCAGACUGAUUUAGCUGCAAGAAUGCACUUGUCCAGGCAGACGUGAAGCCUUACCUGUAGCAAAGCCAGCCAGAAUUGAGUUCUCAGCCGCAGUGUGUCUGGUGACCCACAGGGACCAUGAUGAAAAUUCAUCUUCCAGAAAGUCUCAGAGCAGCGUCCACAUCCCCUGAAAAGACCAAGAUGUGAGGUGUCUGCUGUUGAUUCCAGCUUCCACCUCAGUGACAGUGCAAGCUCAGUGAACUGUUCAAGGUAAAAAAAAAAUUAAAACAUUUCAGAAUUUUUAAGAUAUUAACAAUUAAAUAAGUAUGUGAUUACAUCAUGACGGAGGCUACUGAUUCUGCCCCUGUGACACUUGGUGGUGACAUGUGAGCUGAUUCACCUGGACACUCAGCAAAAUAUGGACUCUACACCAUGAGGCAGGCACACGUUAAUAUUCUAUAAGAGCACAUAAGCAUGAGGAUGUCCUCACACACCUGUAACCUAUCAGCUCAUCUGGCAGAAUAGAGAGAGAAGAGACAACACCACAUCUCCUGUUCCUGGAAAGCCUUCAGCCAUCCUUUGAUGACUGAGAACCUCCAUCAGCUCUGUCUCCUGUCUGCCUACAAUUAUUAUAAUAAAUAUUGUGUUUGACAAGUU